CCUACGGGAGGCAGCAGUGAGGAAUAUUGGUCAAUGGGCGCGAGCCUGAACCAGCCAAGCAGCGUGAAGGAUGACUGCCCUACGGGUCGUAAACUUCUUUUAUAAAGGAAUAAAGUGUGGCACGUGUGCCUUUUUGUAUGUACUUUAUGAAUAAGGAUCGGCUAACUCCGUGCCAGCAGCCGCGGUAAUACGGAGGAUCCGAGCGUUAUCCGGAUUUAUUGGGUUUAAAGGGAGCGUAGAUGGGUUGUUAAGUCAGUUGUGAAAGUUUGCGGCUCAACCGUAAAAUUGCAAUUGAUACUGGCAGUCUUGAGUACAGUAGAGGUAUGCGGAAUUCGUGGUGUAGCGGUGAAAUGCUUAGAUAUCACGAAGAACUCCGAUUGCGAAGGCAGCUUACUAAACUGCCACUGACAUUGAUGCUCGAAAGUGUGGGUAUCAAACAGGAUUAGAUACCCGGGUAGUC
rnacentral:rRNA from 1 species